AGCAGCCGCGGUAAUUCCAGCUCCAAUAGCGUAUAUUAAAGUUGUUGCAGUUAAAAAGCUCGUAGUUGAAUUUCGGGAUCGAAUUGUUGGUCGUGCCUCGGUACGCACUGGCAUUAUCGGUUUCUACCUUCUGAAGAACCGCGAUGUCAUUAAUUUGGUGUCGUGGGGAAUCAGGACUGUUACUUUGAAAAAAUUAGAGUGUUUAAAGCAGGCUCAUGCUUGAAUACAUUAGCAUGGAAUAAUGAAAUAGGACAUCCGAUUCUAUUUUGUUGGUUUCUAGGAUCGAUGUAAUGAUUAAUAGGGAUAGUUGGGGGCAUUAGUAUUCAAUUGUCAGAGGUGAAAUUCUUGGAUUUAUUGAAGACUAACUACUGCGAAAGCAUUUGCCAAGGAUGUUUUCAUUAAUCAAGAACGAAAGUUAGGGGAUCGAAGACGAUCAGAUACCGUCGUAGUCUUAACCAUAAACUAUGCCGACUAGGGAUCGGAUGAUGUUAAUUUUUUAAUGACUC
rnacentral:rRNA from 1 species